AGACUGCACUUUUAUGUGUCGUUUCCUUCAAGCCGACCAUAGAAUCCCGUAUUUUGUUUCAAAGAUGCAAGGAAAGAGAGUAAUCAUUUGGGUUACAGUAUUACAUGUGCUUCCUGUGAUGGCAAAUGUAAAUUUGGCACCUAUCCAGAUCAAAGAUAAAUGAGGAGCAACCAACGCUCUUUGUUUUGCUGACGAGUAUGUGUUGAUCUGAAAAUGUGUCUAUGGUAGUUUAUGUUCUAAUAUACACAC